UACAGAGGUCUCAAGCGUUGUUCGGAUUCAUUGGGCGUAAAGGGUGCGUAGGUGGCAUGGUAAGUCGGAUGUGAAAUCCCGGGGCUCAACCCCGGAACUGCAUUCGAUACUGCUGCGCUAGAGUGCUGGAGAGGAGAUUGGAAUUUACGGUGUAGCAGUGAAAUGCGUAGAUAUCGUAAGGAAGACCAGUGGCGAAGGCGGAUCUCUGGACAGUUACUGACACUGAGGCACGAAGGCCAGGGGAGCAAACGGG
rnacentral:rRNA from 1 species